CUAUGCAUUUUCUCUUCUCUUACCAGAGGGGGAACAGUGCCUGGUGGGUAGUUUGACUGGGGCGGUCGCCUCCUAAAUGGCAACGGAGGCGUUUACAAAGGUUGGUUAGGUCCGGAUGGAAAUCGGACUGAUAGCGCAAAAGUACAAACCAGCUUUACUGCAAGACCCAUAAGUCGAUCAGUUACGAAAGUAGAAUUUAGUGAACCGACCGUAGCAUGUAGAUGCGCGGAAGAUCAUCAGAUAAAAGUUACCCCGGGGAUAACAGGCUGAUCCCUCCCAAGAGUCCACAUCGACGGAGGGGUUUGGCACCUCGAUGUCGGCUCAUCGCAUCCUGGGGCUGGAGAAGGUCCCAAGGGUUUGGCUGUUCGCCAAUUAAAGCGGUACCAGGUUGGUCUCUAUCUGCUGUAGGCGUGAAUGUUUGAGGGAGCUCUUUCCUAGUACGAGAGGACCGGAAAGAACAAACCUCUGGUGUAUCGGCUGUUCCGCCAGGAGCACUGCCGAGUAGCUAUGUUUGGAAUAGAUAACCGCUGAAAGCAUCUAAGCGGGAAGCUAGUCCCAAGAUUAGACAUUAUGUGUAAUUUAUUACACUGAAAUCUCCUAGAAGAAUACUAGGUUGAUAGGCUUUAGAUGUAAGUCUCGCAAGGGAUUGAGUCAAGAAGUACUAAUAGA
rnacentral:rRNA from 1 species